CAGCAGCGCGGUAAUACAGAGGGUGCGAGCGUUAAUCGGAUUUACUGGGCGUAAAGCGUGCGUAGGCGGCUUCUUAAGUCGGAUGUGAAAUCCCUGAGCUUAACUUAGGAAUUGCAUUCGAUACUGGGAAGCUAGAGUAUGGGAGAGGAUGGUAGAAUUCCAGGUGUAGCGGUGAAAUGCGUAGAGAUCUGGAGGAAUACCGAUGGCGAAGGCAGCCAUCUGGCCUAAUACUGACGCUGAGGUACGAAAGCAUGGGGAGCAAACAGGAUUAGAUACCCCCGUAGUCCCUGUCUCUUAUACA
rnacentral:rRNA from 1 species